GUGGUUGGCCUAAAGUUGGAAAUGAGGACAAAAACUAGGAAAGCUGUCAGUUAUUAAUCAAUUCCUGGUCAUUUGGAAUUAAUUAUUAUAAAAGUUAUUGUUUAGCUUCUCAGAUUGUUAUUUCCCAGACUUCUUGCAAGUCUGGCUUUAGCAGACGGGCUUGCUGGACUGUUUAUUGUAGAUAAGGGGCUGGUUUCCUGGGCAGGUUAUGGUCACAGUUCUGUUUUUAUAUAUGGUCUGACCAUGGCCCAUUUGGAUCUUUGGUUUUAUAAUAUAUAUUUUACCUGAAGAGGUAACAUCUAAAAAUGUAAUCUGAUCAUUUUUAUCAUCAUCAUCUGAAGCGUGAUGUGCUCUAAUAGAUGUCAAACACUGUCACUUCCCGGGAGUGAAGGCUGAGAAAGACUGAACACCAGGUAUCUCCUGGGAACCCCACUGAUGCCAUGAUCACACUUUAUAACUUAGGAGGCUAUGAAGGGUGAAGGGUGGGAGAAUAGGGUCGCCACUUACUUUAGAGAAGGAAUGCUUUCAGUGGGAAAGAACACCAUCAUCAUUAAACAUUUUUUUGUUGUUGUUUUUUUGAGACCGAG
rnacentral:lncRNA from 10 species